GAUGAACGCUAGCUACAGGCUUAACACAUGCAAGUCGAGGGGCAGCAUCAUCAAAGCUUGCUUUGAUGGAUGGCGACCGGCGCACGGGUGAGUAACACGUAUCCAACCUGCCGACAACACUGGGACAGCCUUUCGAAAGAAAGAUUAAUACCGGAUGGUAUAGUUUUCCCGCAUGGGAUGAUUAUUAAAGAAUUUCGGUUGUCGAUGGGGAUGCGUUCCAUUAGGCAGUUGGCGGGGUAACGGCCCACCAAACCUACGAUGGAUAGGGGUUCUGAGAGGAAGGUCCCCCACAUUGGAACUGAGACACGGUCCAAACUCCUACGGGAGGCAGCAGUGAGGAAUAUUGGUCAAUGGACGAGAGUCUGAACCAGCCAAGUAGCGUGAAGGAUGACUGCCCUAUGGGUUGUAAACUUCUUUUAUACGGGAAUAAAGUGAGCCACGUGUGGCUUUUUGUAUGUACCGUAUGAAUAAGGAUCGGCUAACUCCGUGCCAGCAGCCGCGGUAAUACAGAGGAUCCGAGCGUUAUCCGGAUUUAUUGGGUUUAAAGGGAGCGUAGGCGGGUUGUUAAGUCAGUUGUGAAAGUUUGCGGCUCAACCGUAAAAUUGCAGUUGAUACUGGCGACCUUGAGUGCAACAGAGGUAGGCGGAAUUCGUGGUGUAGCGGUGAAAUGCUUAGAUAUCACGAAGAACUCCGAUUGCGAAGGCAGCUUACUGGAUUGUAACUGACGCUGAUGCUCGAAAGUGUGGGUAUCAAACAGGAUUAGAUACCCUGGUAGUCCACACAGUAAACG
rnacentral:rRNA from 1 species